CUCGUGCGGGUCAAGCAUGCAGAUCCAUUUUCUGCCACCGAAUACAUUAGCAUGGGAUAAUGGAAUAGGACCCUGUCCUCCUAUUUUCAGUUGGUUUUGGCAGCGCGAGGACUAGGGUAAUGAUUAAUAGGGAUAGUUGGGGGCAUUAAUAUUUAAUUGUCAGAGGUGAAAUUCUUGGAUUUAUGAAAGAUUAACUUCUGCGAAAGCAUCUGCCAAGGAUGUUUUCAUUAAUCAAGAACGAAAGUUAGGGGAUCGAAGACGAUCAGAUACCGUCGUAGUCUUAACCAUAAACGAUGCCGACCAGCGAUUAGGAGACGUUGAAUACAAAACACCACCAUCGGUUGCGGUCGUCCUUGGCGUCUCGGUUUCGGCCGGGGCGCGGGGACGGUUUAGCCCGGUGGCACCGGUGAAUGACUCCCUAGCAGCUUGUGAGAA
rnacentral:rRNA from 1 species